UGAAAUACAGAAAUAAUUCCUUAAACUUUCAACAUUUAUUCAGCAAAACAUUCAUUGAGAACCUACUCUUGCUCAUGUCCUGUGCUAGCUGCUUUAUGAAGCAACAUUCGUAUGACUAACUAUCUCCCUAAAAUCAGCUUCAACUAUGUCUGGAAGGACAGAGGCAUAAAUAGCCAAGGAAGACUGGGCUGAGAGACACAGAGAAGGAGUUGGGUUGGGGUAAUGGCGAUUGAGGAAGGCUGACUGUUUCAUUCGUGCCAUGAGGGAUGAGGAGCAGCCGCUGAACAGAGAAAGCCUGGAAGGACAUCUAGUCAACAUGGCUAUGAGAAUGGUGGAGAGAAAGAAAGAAGGAAGUGCGCGCAGGGCCAGAGAAAAGAGACCGUGUGGACCAAAGAAGAAUGGAGAUGGAGACAGUAGCUGCCUAACCAUUUUCCUAUUCUCAUGAGAUCCAGCUAUACUUGCUAUACUUUGUCUCAGUCAGAUUCUCCAACUCCAAAUGACAUGUUGGUGUUUAUAUUGGAAUAUAUCCAUCUUCUUCCUGGGGCGGCUUGAGUAGUCCUGACAAGUUUGUUUAAUUUUGGUAAUUUCUUGAG
rnacentral:lncRNA from 1 species